rnacentral:rRNA from 1 species
UACGUAGGGUGCAAGCGUUAUCCGGAAUUAUUGGGCGUAAAGAGCUCGUAGGUGGUUUGUCGCGUUGUUCGUGAAAACUCACAGCUUAACUGUGGGCCGUGCGGGCGAUACGGGCAGACUUGAGUACUGCAGGGGAGACUGGAAUCCUGGUGUAGCGGUGGAAUGCGCAGAUAUCAGGAGGAACACCGGUGGCGAAGGCGGGUCUCUGGGCAGUAACUGACGCUGAGGAGCGAAAGCGUGGGGAGCGAACAGG